GACCUCUCUACAUCCUCGUUUUGUUCCCUACAAAAUGGGGAUACAAAGUAUAGACCUCACACGAUUGUUGAAAAAUUUCAGAUGGAAAGAAGAAUCAUAUCUUCCUACACUGUGCUAUAUAAAUCCCCAAGCCUGAUGUGGAUAUGAUGAAUAAGGCAAAGUUAUCAAACUGUUUCAAAGGAAGGUUAACCUGGGGACAACUAAGCGAAGUUGUAUUUGACACCUCUGUAAACACUCACUCAACAAAUACCGGCUGAAAUACCUACUCUGAACCAGUUACCAUGCUAGGUUCAAGGACACAGAAAUGAAGAAGCACAGUUCCUGCCGUUGGAGGACACUUCCAGGCUAACAGCAAAGAGAGAAAACAAGAAGAUGAAAAUUCUAAGACCACCAUGGCAGUGUUAGGGCCACAACUGGGUGAGAAUUUUUAAAGAUUUUAAAGUCCCUUAAACUCACAUGCUUAUCUGACAGUUUCUCAGAAACCCCAAACAGGGCUUUUACCUGAGGCAAGUCAUUGGCUCCGAUAACUUGAAACAGCAGAGGCCCAUCUUAGGCAGUUAUGAAUCCCAGCUGGGUUUCAUUGGUCUGCUUUUUGGCCUGUAAUUUCCCAGUGAGCAUUUGCCCUUUGCCCUGUCUUCGUUUGCCUGUGUACUUAAUGGGUGUUUGCUUUGUUUACUCUGCCCCAAUGCUGUAUGUCAUUUGAGAAGUGUGCUAGUUAUCUUCCUGUUAUCUCAAAAAAAUGUUCAGCACUUUUCAGAUGGGAAAAAGUCCCCUCCAUUUCCCAGAUGGUUUCUGAUGACUCAGAUUUUAACUAGGGUUAUCCUGUCUCAAACACACACUGAACAUCAGCAGCUGAAGAACAUAGAUGACUUCAUGGCCCCUGCCAUCAAGGGUCUCUCUCAAUGACAAGUAAGAGAGAGGCCCCUGAAACCAGCUGUAAAACAAUGGGACAGGUAUGUACAAUGGAGUACAGGGACACGGAUAAAUGAGGAAGCAAUGAGGGCACUGCUGGCAGCUAACACUGUACUCAAAGAACAGCGAGCGUGCAAGGAGCGAAGGGGAGCAGGAAGUGGACCUAGGUUUCCCAGGGUGUAAUAUAUGCACCCUGGACUCACACAUGAUGGUGAUACAUGAAUACAUUCUUUAUUUAUACUAAUAGCGUGUGCUCAUUUUCACGUAUCUUGAGGGAAAAAGUAACCAGCACAUCAAACCCAGAAUUUCAUAAACUAUAUUUUAAAAAUAAAUUUAAACUAAAAAGAUAAACAGGGACGAGGACAAAGGGGACGGACUAGAAAGGGGCACUAGGCAGUGAAGGAAACGUUUUUAUGUCUUGAUUUGA